AUGAGGGGCUCAUGAUAAAGAACACAAAUCCUUUGCCACUUGAGGUCCUGUGGAAAUUUCAUCAUUACUUUCUGGAUUACUCUAACAGCUUCCUAACUACAGGCAUACAUCGGAGAUAGUGUAGCUUCAGUUCCAGGGAGGCACAAUAAAGCAAAGACAGCAGUAAAGCAAGUCAUAUGAAUUUUUUGGUUCCCAGAAUGUUCUGCCCACACUGUGAAUGGCUGGUUUCUUCUGGCUUCAUCCAAUCUCAG